UUCUAAUCCCUAGAACUCGACUAGCCACCAAUUGAAUAGAUUUUUCUUUAGAUCUGAGUCUGAACCUCUCAAAAUCAUCCACUAGACCUGACCACUUUUUUUUGGACCUCUUAAACCCUUAGAGCUAUUAGGAUUAGGCUUAUCUUAAAAGAACAAGCUUUUGUCCUAAACCCUAGAGUUGUAAGAGAGGGAGAGAGGGAGUGGAUAGGGGAUGUAAGAAUUGAAUGAUCAACCCUUCUAUCAUCUCCUAUUUAUAGCACC
rnacentral:lncRNA from 1 species